rnacentral:rRNA from 3 species
AAGAGUGAACUAGCUAACUGAAAUCAUAUGAGACAUAAAUGUGUUAAAUGUGAUAAGGUAAGGGAAAAAAAUGAUAUAACCUUACUAUUAGUGUUGUCCAAAUCUGGUGCCAGAAGACUCGGUAAGACCAGAAACGCGAACGUUAAUCGUCCUAAUCAGGCGUAAAGGGUUUGUAGGCUGCUUUUACUAUUUUUAUUUAAAUAGCUCUGAAAUUAUAAAUAUUUCAGUUAAAUAGGAAUAUAAUAAAAGCUAGAAUCAAAUUGAGGAUAAGCCGAAUAAUACUUAGAGUAGGGAUGAUAUCCAUAGAUACUAAGGGGAAUACUAAAGGUGAAAGCUUUUAUCUACUAUUGAUUGACGCUGAGAAACGAAGGUGAGAAUAGGAAAUAGGAUUAGAUACCCAGAUACCUCUCACUGUCAACGAUGAAUGGUGGUUAGUUAGUUUUAAUAAAAACUGAUAACGAUGUUAACGCGAUAACCAUUCCGCCUUGCGAGUACGGUUGCAAAACUGAAACCAAAAAAAUUAGUCGGUCUCGAAGCAAACGAAGUGGAGCAUGUUAUUUAAUU